rnacentral:rRNA from 1 species
UACGUAGGUGCGAGCGUUGUCCGGAAUUAUUGGGCGUAAAGAGCUUGUAGGCGGUUUGUCGCGUCUGCUGUGAAAAUCCGGGGCUCAACCCCGGACUUGCAGUGGGUACGGGCAGACUAGAGUGUGGUAGGGGAGACUGGAAUUCCUGGUGUAGCGGUGAAAUGCGCAGAUAUCAGGAGGAACACCGAUGGCGAAGGCAGGUCUCUGGGCCACUACUGACGCUGAGAAGCGAAAGCAUGGGGAGCGAACAGGAUUAGAUACCCCGGUA